AACGAACGCUGGCGGCAUGCCUAACACAUGCAAGUCGAACGAGACCUUCGGGUCUAGUGGCGCACGGGUGCGUCACGCGUCGGAACCUGCCCUUAGGUUCGGAAUAACUCUCCGACAGGGGUGCUAAUACAGGAAAAUGUCUUCGAACCAAAGAUUUAUCGUGCUUGGAUGGGCACGCGUUGGAUUAGCUUGUUGGUAGGGUAAAAGCCUAUCACGGCGUCGAUCCAUAGCUGGUCUGAGAGGCUGAUCAGCCACACUGGGACUGAGACACGGCCCAGACUCCUACGGGAGGCAGCAGUGGGGAAUAUUGGACAAUGGGCGAAAGCCUGAUCCAGCAAUGCCGCGUGAGUGAUGAAGGCCGUAGGGUUGUAAAGCUCGUUUACCCGGGAUGAUAAUGACAGUACCGGGAGAAUAAGCUCCGGCUAACUCCGUG
rnacentral:rRNA from 1 species